rnacentral:rRNA from 1 species
AUUGAACGCUGGCGGCAGGCCUAACACAUGCAAGUCGAGCGAGCGGCGGACGGGUGAGUAAUGUAUGGGGACUGCCUGAUAGCGGGGGAUACCUACUGGAAACGGUGGCUAAUACCGCAUACUAUCGUAUUUCCCAUAUGGGAUUAGCUAGUUGGUGGGGUAAAGGCUCACCUAGGCGACGAUCCCUAGCUGGUCUGAGAGGAUGAUCAGCCACACUGGGACUGAGACACGGCCCAGACUCCUACGGAGGCAGCAGUGGGGAAUAUUGCACAAUGGGCGCAAGCCUGAUGCAGCCAUGCCGCGUGUAUGAAGAAGGCAUUAGGGUUGUAAAGUACUUUCAGCGGGGAGGCGUUACCCGCAGAAGAAGCACCGGCUAACUCCGUGCCAGCAGCCGCGGUAAUAC